rnacentral:SRP_RNA from 1 species
UUGAGAAGGCAACCGGGUAGCCAGCCCCUACCUCUUCUGCAAACGGGCUAUAUGGCAGGGUGUCGCCUGAGAAGCGGCAUUCGUUUUGUGUAUCGGUCCUGGUCUGUACGGUGACAUGCUGUCCUACAGGAUCGGUGCUUUGGCGAACCAAGUCAGGGUCGGAAGACAGCAGCUUUAAGCUUCGGCAUCGGUGCUUGCGGGGUAACGGCAUUGAGGAACGAUCAGGGUUAACCGCUGCGCAGGAUGUUUGUCCAUUCUUGGGUGCCUUCUCAC